rnacentral:rRNA from 1 species
UACGGGUGGUGCAAGUGUUAAUCGGAAUUACUGGGCGUAAAGCGUGCGCAGGCGGUUCUAUAAGACAGAUGUGAAAUCCCCGGGCUUAACCUGGGAACUGCAUUUGUGACUGGCGAGCUAGAGUAUGGCAGAGGGGGGUAGAAUUCCACGUGUAGCAGUGAAAUGCGUAGAGAUGUGGAGGAAUACCGAUGGCGAAGGCAGCCCCCUGGGCCAACACUGACGCUCAUGCACGAAAGCGUGGGGAGCAAACAGG